rnacentral:rRNA from 1 species
GAUGAACGCUGGCGGCGUGCCUAAUACAUGCAAGUCGAGCGAACGGACGAGAAGCUUGCUUCUCUGAUGUUAGCGGCGGACGGGUGAGUAACACGUGGAUAACCUACCUAUAAGACUGGGAUAACUUCGGGAAACCGGAGCUAAUACCGGAUAAUAUUUUGAACCGCAUGGUUCAAAAGUGAAAGACGGUCUUGCUGUCACUUAUGGAUGGAUCCGCGCUGCAUUAGCUAGUUGGUAAGGUAACGGCUCACCAAGGCAACGAUGCAUAGCCGACCUGAGAGGGUGAUCGGCCACACUGGAACUGAGACACGGUCCAGACUCCUACGGGAGGCAGCAGUAGGGAAUCUUCCGCAAUGGGCGAAAGCCUGACGGAGCAACGCCGCGUGAGUGAUGAAGGUCUUCGGAUCGUAAAACUCUGUUAUUAGGGAAGAACAUAUGUGUAAGUAACUGUGCACAUCUUGACGGUACCUAAUCAGAAAGCCACGGCUAACUACGUGCCAGCAGCCGCGGUAAUACGUAGGUGGCAAGCGUUAUCCGGAAUUAUUGGGCGUAAAGCGCGCGUAGGCGGUUUUUUAAGUCUGAUGUGAAAGCCCACGGCUCAACCGUGGAGGGUCAUUGGAAACUGGAAAACUUGAGUGCAGAAGAGGAAAGUGGAAUUCCAUGUGUAGCGGUGAAAUGCGCAGAGAUAUGGAGGAACACCAGUGGCGAAGGCGACUUUCUGGUCUGUAACUGACGCUGAUGUGCGAAAGCGUGGGGAUCAAACAGGAUUAGAUACCCUGGUAGUCCACGCCGUAAACGAUGAGUGCUAAGUGUUAGGGGGUUUCCGCCCCUUAGUGCUGCAGCUAACGCAUUAAGCACUCCGCCUGGGGAGUACGACCGCAAGGUUGAAACUCAAAGGAAUUGACGGGGACCCGCACAAGCGGUGGAGCAUGUGGUUUAAUUCGAAGCAACGCGAAGAACCUUACCAAAUCUUGACAUCCUUUGACAACUCUAGAGAUAGAGCCUUCCCCUUCGGGGGACAAAGUGACAGGUGGUGCAUGGUUGUCGUCAGCUCGUGUCGUGAGAUGUUGGGUUAAGUCCCGCAACGAGCGCAACCCUUAAGCUUAGUUGCCAUCAUUAAGUUGGGCACUCUAAGUUGACUGCCGGUGACAAACCGGAGGAAGGUGGGGAUGACGUCAAAUCAUCAUGCCCCUUAUGAUUUGGGCUACACACGUGCUACAAUGGACAAUACAAAGGGCAGCGAAACCGCGAGGUCAAGCAAAUCCCAUAAAGUUGUUCUCAGUUCGAAUUGUAGUCUGCAACUCGACUACAUGAAGCUGGAAUCGCUAGUAAUCGUAGAUCAGCAUGCUACGGUGAAUACGUUCCCGGGUCU